rnacentral:rRNA from 1 species
ACCUAGCGGCGGACGGGUGAGUAAUGCUUAGGAAUCUGCCUAUUAGUGGGGGACAACGUUCCGAAAGGAACGCUAAUACCGCAUACGUCCUACGGGGGAAAGCAGGGGAUCCUCGGACCUUGCGCUAAUAGAUGAGCCUAAGUCGGAUUAGCUAGUUGGUGGGGUAAAGGCCUACCAAGGCGACGAUCUGUAGCGGGUCUGAGAGGAUGAUCCGCCACACUGGGACUGAGACACGGCCCAG